rnacentral:lncRNA from 15 species
UGUUUGUUUAAAAGCCGGUUUAUUGUUUUCUUAGAGGACAUCCUCAUCAGUCAGUUAAAAUGAUGUGACAUAUCCAUAAAACAGAUUACAGAAAGUCAUUUCACAUGAUCACUUCCAGUAACACCCGGUACACAUCAUGACUUGUGGUAAGACACAAAUUCAUCAAGGUCUUUUUUAUUUUCAAACACAUCAGUCCAUCAUCCACCCAAACCCCCCACCCCCAAAGAAGUAGACCAAUUGGUAAAUGUGUGUACAGCCCGACAUCCAUACAAUACAAAAAUAUAUCUGUAUAAAUGUGUUCAUACAAAUCAGCUCACAUACACAUAGAAAAAGAAGUAAACAGAAAUAAUAACAAAUAAAGAAUGAAAAGACGUAAAAACAAACCCCCAAAAAACCCAUAUCUAUAUAAUCCUUCUGGGAUUUAUAAAGUAUAUCUAUCUAUUUAUCUAUCUAUCUAUACAAACAUACAUACGGGUUACAAAGUGGUAAGACACAAUUACAGUAUGCAACACUAAGUCUUCAUUUUGAUUGAUGAUGACUUAAUAAUUACUAAUAUAAUGCAAUACUGAGUCCAAAAAAAAUACCAGGCCUGCCACCAGACAUGCUAUUAUGACAAUAUAUUGUUAUAUAUUGAUUGAUUAUGACCUAAUAAUUGGUAAUAAUUAUGCAAUACUAAGUCAUAAUGUGAGUAAGUCUUAAUAGGAAGACAUCAGUUAUACUUUAGACUCACUACAGUAAGUCAUAGAUAUGUCCGGAAGCCCUUACUAGUUAAAUGUUUUGUCCCUCGCAAUGUGUUACUCUAUUUGUAUAUAUGUCCCUAUAUGGAGAGCCCUUCCGUGUGUGAGGGGAAAAUGACACAGAAUAAUAUCCUGAAAAGACGGGCAGGAAAAAGAAGAACAGGCGGGUAUUUGGAGGGACUAUAGCGUAGUACCGAAGGGGGCGACCACGCACAGUCGCACACUCAUCCCUGCUCCAAAACUCGUAAUAGUGAGGGACCACGCAGCUUGUCAUUCCCCAGCAUAUCGGCUGGCGUGUCACCUUAUCUCCCACUGUGUGUCCGGGGACUAUUUCACAUAUUUCUCCCGAAGGAUUUCCACGGCGUUCAAUUAGGUCUGUGCAUGCUAAUGGGUGUCUUUGGACGGCUGCCUCCCUCGUCCAUGUGUGGCUCUCUGAGAGCGCUGUGAGCAGCAGCAGCAGCAGCAGCAGCACCUUGGAUCAGCAGAAGGAGGAGGAGGAGGAGGAGGAGGAGGAUUUUUUCUCCUACCGUACCGUGUCGUGCACAGUGGAAAUACACUCGCCUGCUCUGGGUACUAUCAAAACGAAAGGGAGGGAAGAAGAAGGAGAAGGAGAAGGAGACGAAGUAAGAAGCAUAAGGGCUUAUCUUUUUGGGGGGUCACCCCAGACUAUAUUUGGUUUGAAUUGUCAACGGGACAGGCCUGCUACAUUGGACGUGUCUUCAGAAUGAUUUUGCCUGCAUGUGCGAGUAAAAUGGAUGAACGAAUCAAGUGAAUGCAUCUGAAUGGCCGAGUUGGGGGAAAGCUCAGAGGGCUGGCAUGUUAUUUACUUCAAUUUGAGCUCUUUCAUAGAGGACACACACUUCUUUUGGAACAUAUUCAACAGCCUUAAUAUAUCAAAUAUAAAUAUAUAUAUAUAUUUUGCACAGCAGUAUUUACUUAGUACGUUAAAAGUAUGAAGCCUUGUGAUAGUGAGAAUAUGUGUUAAGAAAAUAAAUUUGAAGAACACUGACAUUUUGAGAGGUGUGCUGACAUUUUGUUUCUGUUUUCAGUGCUGAAAUUGUUUCACAGUGUCGUAUCUCAAUGAGCACCCAGGUGUUACAAUGCAUGAGGUGACAGAUUGUUUUACCUGUCAGUGGAGUAAAGCUAGGGCCAACUGCUUCCAUGCUUUUUUGUUUUCUGUGAUGUUCAGGUACACUAUCAUAUAAAUUGCAUAGACACAAAUUUAUUUUUUUAUAAAUUGCACUUUAGCAUUUCAUUUUUACAACCACAUCUAACAACAUUCCUAGAUUAUGUUGCACUUGGAUACUCUUUGGUUAUAUGAAGGUUAAAUUAUACUGUAAUGAUUGGAAUAUCAAACCCUCAACCACAGUACUCAUGGAAAUUGGUAGAAUUCUCCAUGAAUAACACCAGCUGUGGUUAGUUGAAUUCCUAUGUUGACAAAUGUUUUUGAGUUGGGUAACUUAAACUACACUCUGGUGAGCAACCCUGAUUGCAAUGUUGCAGUACAGCUGGGCUUGGCCAGACAACACUGAAGUGAAGUGAAGUUGCCCUUUAAAUAUUAAGCUAAGCCCUUCUUAAAGCUACAGUUGAUUAUGUCCAAAGACUUCCAAAAUUAUUUCACCAGCAUUGGUGUGUUGACUGUUGGGUAUCGUAUAUCAAUGGAAGCGUGUAGCUUUAGUGGACAUCAGCU